ACUCUCCAUGACUCCAUCUCCCAAAAUUGAUACACAAAAAAUAUUGAGAUUAAGAAUAAUCAACAUCGAGUGUUCGAUCGACAGAUUAUGAUGACUAAUAAGUUAAUAAUAAUGACAAAUCUUUUUUCAAUUUUCUUUCUGGUUUCAGCUAUCUCUAUAACGGUGACUGAACGCGUAAGGAUUUGUGGAGAAAAUUGGUUGAUGAAAACUAAUUGCAACAAUGAUGACUUUUGCCGCAACAAAUGUUUUGGACUUCAUCCGGGGCCCAUGUCAUGGUGGCGUUGUAUAGAUUCCUUCAAUUGUGUAUGUCAAUACUAUUGUUGAUUAUUUAGUACAUUUUACCAGAAUUGCACGUUUCUAUUACAAAAUAAUAAUAGACGGAAAUGAGAUUUGAACAAUUCUCAUUUUAGUUGUGUUGGUAUUGCUGAUAUUGUAUCGAAUGAAUGGAAAUAAUUUCUAUUGAAACUUAGCUUUGUGAUUUU